UACGUAGGGGGCAAGCGUUGUCCGGAAUCAUUGGGCGUAAAGAGCGUGUAGGCGGCCAGAAAAGUCCGCUGUGAAAACUCGAGGCUCAACUUCGAGCUGUCGGUGGAAACUUUCUGGCUAGAGUCCGGAAGAGGAGAAUGGAAUUCCUGGUGUAGCGGUGAAAUGCGCAGAUAUCAGGAAGAACACCCGUGGCGAAGGCGGUUCUCUGGGACGGUACUGACACUGAGGCGCGAAAGCGUGGGGAGCGAACAGG
rnacentral:rRNA from 1 species